CCCCUUUUUCUUUACCCACGUUCUGCUGCCUGUUCCCCACCUCCUUGGAUUUAAUUCCUCGCCACAUUACCAUUAGUUUCUAUUCCUUUUACAUCCCCAAUGUCUCUCAUAUCCGUUGUCUUUUCUUUUGGCCUCCCUUUUAGAGCCUGGGACAGGGCUUUGAGAAUGGGGGAAGACGAAGGCUCUGGUAUUGUUACCCGCCUUUGCACUGCUGGAAGAUAGGACAGCAUAUUUUUCCUAAAAGGUGUUGCCUUCUUGUGUUUGAGGUGGUUGCCCCAGGAGAACUUCAUUUCUUCUGGGCAUAGGGGAAUUCGUCUUUUUGUGGUCGAGGUUCAGAGGUCCCUAGCACUCACUCGUGUGCUUGUGAUUUGCUAGACUUCGGGACCCACAACCUUUAAGCAGCAGAGGAGCACGAGGAUCGUGGGAGCUAAGAAUAGCAGGACCCAGUGCUCUAUAAAGGAUAAUAGUUUCCAGUACACUAUCCCUCAUGAUGACUCCUUAAGUGGUUCAUCGUCUGCAUCUUCGUGUGAACCAGUGAGUGAUUUUCCAGCAUCU
rnacentral:sRNA from 1 species